GCCUAGACGUAAACAAUUUAUUUACAUACUUUAACGCCCGGGUAUUACGAGCAUUGCUUAAAACCCAAAGGACUUGACGGUGUCUCACCCACCUAGAGGAGCCUGUUCUAUAAUCGAUAACCCCCGCUUUACCUAACCAUUCUUUGCCUAAUCAGUCUGUAUACCUCCGUCGGAAGCUUACCAUAUGAACGCCCAUAGUAAGCCCAAUGGUCACCCACCAACACGUCAGGUCAAGGUGCAACUUAUAGGAUGGAAAGAAAUGGGCUACAAUUUCUAAAUUAGAACAAACGAAAGGCUGUCUGAAACCCCCAGUCAUGAAGGAGGAUCUAGUAGUAAAAGGAGAAUAGAGAGCUCCUUUUAACCUGGCACUGAGACGCGUACACACCGCCCGUCACCCUCUUCAAUAGUUAUUCGUCUAGAUUAUUAACAAAUUAACCACGCCUU
rnacentral:rRNA from 1 species